AACGCACAUUGCGCCCGCUAGUAUUCUGGCGGGCAUGCCUGUUCGAGCGUCAUUUCAACCAUCAAGCCCUAGGCUUGUGUUGGGGUCCUGCGGCUGUCCGCAGCCCCCUAAAAACAGUGGCGGGCUCGCUAUAUACCGAGUGCAGUAGUUUACUCUUCGCUCAGGACAUGUAGUGGGUUCUUGCCGUAAAACCCCCCAUUUUUUAAGGUUGACCUCGGAUCAGGUAGGAAUACCCGCUGAACUUAA
rnacentral:misc_RNA from 1 species